rnacentral:rRNA from 1 species
UACGGAGGGUGCGAGCGUUGUCCGGAAUCACUGGGCGUAAAGGGCGCGUAGGCGGCCUGAUAAGUCGGGGGUGAAAUCCUGCGGCUUAACCGCAGGGCUGCCUUCUAAACUGUCAGGCUCGAGCACAGUAGAGGCAGGUGGAAUUCCCGGUGUAGCGGUGGAAUGCGUAGAGAUCGGGAAGAACAUCAGUGGCGAAGGCGGCCUGCUGGGCUGUUGCUGACGCUGAGGCGCGACAGCGUGGGGAGCAAACGGG